GCGAAAGUGCGUUCUCCGCAGUACAGUUUGCCAAUUGAAGACAGAGACGAAAAACUUCACAUCGUGUUUUGAAACUGUCAGAACAAAUAGGUUCUGGCGGAGUUCAGCCGUAUAUCUGGCAAAAACCUGCAAAGGGAAUUCUUUUAAGAACUUGACUAUUUCCUUCAAUAUCUUCCUUGAUAUCUUCAAGGCCAAAGGGGGAUACGGCUGUAAACUCAAGAAGAUUCCACAACAGGUUGACAAUAAUAAGUCUGACACCAAUGAAAGGCGAACUGCUGUUUCUUCAUGGCCUCCCACUCCUCCUCGGAGAGGAUCCCAUUGAUUUUUACAAUACGACAGAGAUGAUGAAGAAGGGUUGUCCAGCAUUUCAAUCGGCAUUUUGUGUCAGUGAUCCUUGAGGACUGUGAAUCCAUACUGUACUCACUAAACCUUAUUUUGGAAGGUAAACAUUGUAAUGGAUAACCUGGGAAAUCUUCCCAAAGCCAUGUGCAUCCUCUUUGGGCUCAUUUAUGCCCUGAAUUUAGAGUAUCCCCCAGUACUGAAGAACACUUUAGAUUUCAUCCAAAGGGUGCUUUUGUCACUUGGCCACAAGUCUCAAAACUCUUCUACUGCAGUUAUGUAACUGCCAUGACAGAGCAUUUUCAUUGUUCAUGAUUAACCACUUUAAGUUACAAAAAUGGUAGAGCACAACUGAAAAUGUAUUUUAUUUCCUGUUGGAAAACGUACUUAAAAGGACAGUUCACCCACAUAUUUAAAUUCUUAUAUAAUUUUCUCACCCUCAGACUAGGGGUGUGCGAUAUGCCGAUAUUAGAUCGCGAACGAUUAAAAUGACUGCACGAUCCACUUUUUCGGGAAAAUCAUUAAAUCGUCCUAUAUAGUAGUGUUCUAUAAAAUUCGUCAACAUACUUGCGAUAGAUUGCGCCAUGUUAACAAGCUUGUAUAUGUUGCUUGUGAAUUCAGUAAGAUUAAGUGACGCGGUCAGUGAAGAUGGAGGGAAACACGGAGGACUUGGUCCCUAAAAAAAAUUCUACAUCAGUAAUAUUGAAAUGGUUUGGGUUUUCCCCAACUGACACGGCCCAAACAACAGUUAUUUGCAAAUGUGGCAAUGAUAAGAUUCGAGCGUCGUAAGGCAACACAACGAACCUUUUUAACCACCUCAAAAUAAAGGGACUGAAAGAGUAUGCCGACAAUCAAAUUAUAAAGGGAUCCCAAGCGAGUAAAUCAGGUACAACCAAGCAUACGGAAACUAAAAGGCUUAAACAACGACUUUAGCGAAAGAACCAUUUGAGAAAAAAAAACACGUAUCAGUAUGACAGAAUGAACAAGCGCUGGAAAGAUGUCACUGACGCGGUCGCAUUUUACCUGGCCAAAGACAUGAUUCCCAUAAAGACUGUGGAAAAUGAGGGCUUUAAAAAACUGCUCAAAGUCGUGGAUCCACGUUACGAAAUACCCAGCCAAAAAUAUUUAUCCUCCACGCCCAUUCCACAGCUUUACUUCGAGUUCCGCAACAAGAUGAAAAACAAAUUUCAAAAUGUAAAGUUUUUUGCUAACAGCUGAUUUAUGGUCUUGCACUUUCAUUAAAUAUUAACUUGAUUAAAAUAUUCUUCAAAAUAUAAAUGGUAAAGAGUAUAUUUUUAUAUGGGGACUUAGUUUGGCUGUAUUGAAGCCCCUUUAAUUUGAAAAAUAGUCUUAAAACCAACUUGAAGAAGAACCGCGAUAAAAUCGUGAAUCGUGAUCUAUCUGGAAAAAAUCGUGAUUUGAAUUUUUUUUCUAGAUCGCCCACCCCUACCUCAGACUGUUCCAAACCUAGGUAAAUUAAUUUGUUCUGCUAAACACAAAAUAAUAUAUUUGGAAGAUUGUCAGAAACUGAGCAGAUCUCAUCCCGACUCCUAUAGUGUUUAUUAUUUCCCUACUAUGACAGUAAAUGGGGGAUGCGAUUUGUUUUGUAAUUGACAUUCUUCCAAAUACCUUUCUCUGUGUUCAUCAGAACAAAGAAAUUAAUACAGGUUUGGAACAAUCUGAGGGUGAGUAAAUGAUGACAGAAUUUGCAUUGGUAAGUGAGCUUUCACUUUAAUGUUAAUGUUAAACAUGCUUAAUGUUUAGUGGUUGGUUUUAGUAACAUUUUAGAUGUUUUUUGAUGUUUGAUAAAGAGAACAAAAAAUGUGUUCUUUACUAAAAUACUUAGUCUUCAAUGUGCCUCAGUACUUCAUUUUACCUCUGUGAAAAGGGGACAGCGAUAUUUUUCUUUCUAAAGUGUACUGGAAAAUGUACUUUGUUUCUUGUUUCGAACUUGACAGUUUGAUUAAUGUGAAGUGUUUUUUUUAAAUAAGACAAGAUAUAUUUUUGUUAGACAAGACAAGAAAAUAAACUGUACUUAAUUAGUUUACAGAGUAGUCUACUUUGUUUCCAAAUUUGCAUUAUACCUCUUUAUAAAAAAGUUACAUUUGUGAAAAGGGUAGACUGUUCUAUUUUGCAAUGGAGUACAGUAUGUGCAUUUUUGGUAAAAUCAUGUCAAGUC